AGUGAACGCUGGCGGUAGGCCUAACACAUGCAGGUCGAACGGCAGCACAGUAAGAGCUUGCUCUUACGGGUGGCGAGUGGCGGACGGGUGAGGAAUACAUCGGAAUCUACUUUUUCGUGGGGGAUAACGUAGGGAAACUUACGCUAAUACCGCAUACGACCUACGGGUGAAAGCAGGGGAUCUUCGGACCUUGCGCGAUUGAAUGAGCCGAUGUCGGAUUAGCUAGUUGGCGGGGUAAAGGCCCACCAAGGCGACGAUCCGUAGCUGGUCUGAGAGGAUGAUCAGCCACACUGGAACUGAGACACAGUCCAGACUCCUACGGGAGGCAGCAGUGGGGAAUAUUGGACAAUGGGCGCAAGCCUGAUCCAGCCAUACCGCGUGGGUGAAGAAGGCCUUCGGGUUGUAAAGCCCUUUUGUUGGGAAAGAAAAGCAGCAGGUUAAUACCCCGCUGUUCUGACGGUACCCAAAGAAUAAGCACCGGCUAACUUCGUG
rnacentral:rRNA from 1 species